UAUGUAGGGGGCUAGCGUUGUCCGGAAUCAUUGGGCGUAAAGAGCGUGUAGGCGGCCCGGUAAGUCCGCUGUGAAAGUCGGGGGCUCAACCCUCGAAUGCCGGUGGAUACUGUCGGGCUAGAGUGCGGAAGAGGCGAGUGGAAUUCCUGGUGUAGCGGUGAAAUGCGCAGAUAUCAGGAGGAACACCAAUUGCGAAGGCAGCUCGCUGGAACGUAACUGACGCUGAGACGCGAAAGCGUGGGGAGCAAACAGG
rnacentral:rRNA from 1 species